UGGUUUCCUUUGAUGGAGGCAUAGGUAAACC
rnacentral:piRNA from 2 species